UGGGGAAUCUUGCACAAUGGGGGCAACCCUGAUGCAGCGACGCCGCGUGAGCGAUGAAGGUUUUCGAAUCGUAAAGCUCUGUCCUAUGGGAAGAUAAUGACGGUACCAUAGGAGGAAGCCCCGGCUAACUACGUGCCAGCAGCCGCGGUAAUACGUAGGGGGCGAGCGUUGUCCGGAAUUACUGGGCGUAAAGGGUUCGCAGGCGGCAUGGCAAGUCCGAUGUAAAAGGCGAAGGCUCAACCUUCGUAAGCAUCGGAAACUGUCAAGCUUGAGUGAAGGAGAGGCAAGUGGAAUUCCUGGUGUAGCGGUGGAAUGCGUAGAUAUCAGGAGGAAUACCGGUGGCGAAGGCGACUUACUGGACUUAAACUGACGCUCAGGCACGAAAGCGUGGGGAGCAAACAGG
rnacentral:rRNA from 1 species